AUUGAACGCUGGCGGCAGGCCUAACACAUGCAAGUCGAACGAGUGGCGGACGGGUGAGUAAUGUCUGGGAAACUGCCUGAUGGAGGGGGAUAACUACUGGAAACGGUAGCUAAUACCGCAUACCAUCGGAUGUGCCCAGAUGGGAUUAGCUAGUAGGUGGGGUAAAGGCUCACCUAGGAGCAGAUCCCUAGCUGGUCUGAGAGGAUGACAAGCCACACGGGAACUGAGACACGGCCCAGAUUCUUACGGGAGGCAGCAGUGGUGAAUAUUGCACAAUGGGCGCAAGCCUGAUGCAGCCAUGCCGCGUGGAUGAAGAAGGCCUUCGGGUUGUAAAGUACGUUCAGCUGGGAGGCGUUCCCCGCAGAAGAAGCACAGGCUAACUCCGUGCCAGCAGCCGCGGUAAUUC
rnacentral:rRNA from 1 species